GAACCGUACGAACGUUAUUCGGAAUCACUGGGCUUAAAGAGUUCGUAGGCGGCUCGGGAAGGUUGGGGUGUGAAAUCCCACAGCUCAACUGUGGAACUGCGCCCAAAACCGUCGAGCUUGAGGGAGACAGGGGUGAGCGGAACAGAUGGUGGAGCGGUGAAAUGCGUUGAUAUCAUCUGGAACACCGGUGGCGAAGGCGGCUCACUGGGUCUCUUCUGACGCUGAGGAACGAAAGCUAGGGUAGCGAACGGGAUUAGAUACCCCGGUAGUCCUAGCUGUAAACGAUGAGCACUAGUUCGAGGGAACCUACACAUUUUCUCGGACGUAGCGAAAGUGUUAAGUGCUCCGCCUGGGGAGUAUGGUCGCAAGGCUG
rnacentral:rRNA from 1 species